UUUAUUCAUUCUUCAAGAGUCCAGGUGUUUCACAUCCUGGGCUUAUCAGCCCAUUGAAAGGUCAGGCAGAAAGCUUCUGGCAGAGAUUUAUCUGAGCCAAUCAGCAUCAGGUUAAUAUUCAUUUGUGUUGGAAAUUCAAAUAUAUGGAGACAAAAGUAAACAUGGUGGUUUCUGAGGCUUUUCAUAUUUUGGAUGGAUGAACCUUUUUCCUAAUCAUUUAAAAGAUGACCAAUGUUGUGUCUGUGGUAUAAAGAUGAGGAUCCUGUGACCAAACAAGAUUUGAUAGGAAAGUUGGAAAGCUAAAGAACAUUAAUGGCAAUCCCUGCUCAACCACAUGAUGUGGUGCACAAAAGGUUUGGUGUGACGCAAGUGUCAUCUAAAUUGAGACUGGCUUAUGCCUUGAGAUCAUAUGCCAAAGGAACUUACCCAGCGAAUAACAAAAUGGAAAUCAUCGUUCAUUUGUAAAUUGUAAAUCAAU